GACGAACGCUGGCGGCGUGCUUAACACAUGCAAGUCGAACGGAAAGGCCCUGCUUUUGUGGGGUGCUCGAGUUGCGAACUGGUGAGUAACACGUGAGUAACCUGCCCUUGACUUUGGGAUAACUUCAGGAAACUUGGGCUAAUACCGGAUAGGAUCUCCUGCUUCUUGGUGGGGGUUGGAUAGUUUCGGCGGUUGGUGAUGGACUCGCGGCUUAUCACCUUGUUGGUGGGGUAGUGACUUACCAAGGCUUUGACGGGUAGCCGGCCUGAGAGGGUGACCGGCCACAUUGGGAGGGAGAGACGGACCAGACACAUACGGGAGGCAGGAGGGGGGAAGAUUGAACAAUGGGCGGAAGCCAGAUGCAGCAACGCCGGGUGCGGGAUGACGGCCUUCGGGUUGUAAACAGCUUUCGCCUGUGACGAAGCGUAAGUGACGGAAAGGGGUAAAGAAGCACCGGCUAACUACGU
rnacentral:rRNA from 1 species